rnacentral:rRNA from 1 species
GACGAACGCUGGCGGCGCGCCUAACACAUGCAAGUCGAACGGUGAAGAGGAGCUUGCUCCUCGGAACAGUGGCGGACGGGUGAGUAACACGUGAGCAACCUGGCUCUAAGAGGGGGACAACAGUUGGAAACGACUGCUAAUACCGCAUGACGUAUCGGGAUGGCAUCUUCCUGAUACCAAAGAUUUUAUCGCUUAGAGAUGGGCUCGCGUCUGAUUAGAUAGUUGGCGGGGUAACGGCCCACCAAGUCGACGAUCAGUAGCCGGACUGAGAGGUUGAACGGCCACAUUGGGACUGAGACACGGCCCAGACUCCUACGGGAGGCAGCAGUGGGGGAUAUUGGACAAUGGGGGCAACCCUUAUCCAGCGACGCCGCGUGAGGGAAGAAGGUUUUCGGAUUGUAAACCUCUGUUGACGGAGAAAAAAAUGAUGGUAUCCGUUUAGAAAGCCACGGCUAACUACGUG